GAUGUGUAAUAAAUUCUCCAUGCAGGUUGUAGCAUGGGAACUGCUGGCUCAACAUAUGAAGCACCAGAAGAAAAAGCGACCCCUCGGGCUGCUCCAAAGCUGGGCUGCAUCUGCGGGUGACAAGCUGAGAACCAGGGCAACCUCACAAAGCCCACCGAGGAAACAGAAGCACCGAGAGGUGAAGAAAUUGCUGAAAGUCACAACAGCUACCAGAGCCAGGGGAAGAUUCAAACCCCAGGAGACUGCUGCCCACAGAGCAGGGCCUGCAUCGGAAAUCUGACAGCUCAGCGUUGCUACAAAGGCAGUUUCUCUGGAGCAGUUCUCCCUGGUGCUGAGAAGCCGUCCGGACCUGGAGGACCAGGCUUUGCUAACGAAGGGUCUCCUGAUGGAGUAUUGUCACCAUUAAGGAAACCUUCCACCUGUAUGUUAUGUGCACCGUAAAGGGACAAAAUGGGGAGAAGGCAACUUGAUGAGCUCCUUGCCAGAUAAAAAGAAAUAAAAAGAAGAAGGAGGAGGAAGAAGAGAAGAAACCCACCACAAAAUUUUAAAUUAUCUUUUACUGUGCGCUGUCCAUUGUUUCUGGUGAUGAUCUGUAAGACUCAGAUAAUGGCCAAAUUGAAGUUACUUCCCCGGACAAGGCCUUGGAAGCCCGCCUCAGGCUAAGACCCGUCUUUAGAGCUUGAGCCGUCUUCACAGACUCAGAUACUUAAAGUGAGACCAUCUUCAUUUUGGUGCCCAGAGUGCAAAGUGAAACUCCGACUCUCUAGCACAAGCCCAGGUCCUGUUUUCCGUCCUGGCUGGGAGAUGGACACAGGAGCAGACUCAGCCUCAUUUUCUCCCUAGGUGAGUGGGAGAUGCUCGGGAGCCCCGUCUCAACUCUCUGGCUGUGUCUGCUGACGUCUAAAAUGACCACAAAGGCUUGAGUUUUACUUUCAGUUCAGUCAAUCAAAUGACUGACUCAUUGAGAAGGAAGGGCAUUCAAGCCUGUUGGGUGAUGGACCGGUCAGUCGAGUAGCUCUGAGUGGACAUAGCCAUUGGUAUACUGAUUUAUUCUUAGGAGAUAUGACUUACAAAAAGGGUACGUAGAAGGGUGGCAGACACCAGCCGCUAAAGUCAGAAUGCUG